UCGGGAGUGCCCUCGUGGCUUAACCUGCAACCCAAUGUUUAAUCAACCCUUGUUUCUUUGGCGGGCUCGCCCGUCAGAAGAAUUCUCAAACUCGUUAAAACGUGUCAUCUGAAAAAACAAAAUAAAUAAAAGCA
rnacentral:misc_RNA from 1 species